AGCAUUGACAUGCACCAACCAAGUCAGCGAGCGUGACCACGCGAUCCCCUAUAUGACAGCAGCCUCCAAGUGAUCAGAUACGGAUAUCAUGAGCAACGACUCACACCGUCGGGGGUAUGAUGAAACGCAAAAAGAUCUCUGAGUGUGCCUGCCCGAUCCAUGAGGUCACCUGUUACGAUCAGCAUAGAUUGUUGAGGACCUAUUCUGACCGGGAAUCACGGAAGAAGAAUUUCACGGUGUUAAACCGCUUCCCUAGGCGGUUGUGUUGAACAAUAAAGCGAUCUGACAGCUCUGUCGACCUCAUUGCAACUCAUUAAAGUAAAUAUAACAAAGAUGUAUAACGAUAGAUAGGUUCAUAGCACUGAAACCACGUAGUGGACUUAACAAACAAUAGCCACUGGUCAAGUUACAGGCAUCUUCCCGAGGCAAAGGAUUAACUGACUAGAAAAGUCCAGGAUCUACCCACAUUGUUUACGCAUCAGGAAGUCGAUUUCGUUACGUGAUUUUGAUUGGACAAUGCAUUCACUCGUAUGUCCAGCCAAAAUAUAACUAAAAAAUUCCAGCCUAGUUCGGCAAGGGUGGAAACUUUAAGAAAAAUACAAAAGUACAAUAAAACGCUGCAGGGAGAAUAAACACUAUGAACAGCCUCUUUAAGGAUGAUUAAAAAAAUUAAAAGCUUUAAAAACAUUUACCCGUAUUUAAAUAAUUAUGACUUCCGCAAUAGAAUCCGACCCCCGCAAUGUCGGACAAGUCCAUUCUGUGCCCAAGGGGCGCAACUCUUCACAGCAAAUCGCGGCGCCAUAGCCGACUGGGCCACCCGUGCCACUUAGCAGUGUGAUAAGGGUCCACAGGGUCUGCAUUAUUGAAGAAACAGGAUAAACUUUUUAAUAUGUUUUGAGUGUCAUUACGGAUAAAUAAAUGAGAUCUUAUCUUU